rnacentral:ncRNA from 1 species
GGCUAAACCGGGCUUCUCGGUUCCCGCUUUCGCGCGUUCGGCGCGGGCGGGUGAAAAGGGAAUUCGGUGGGGCGCGGGAAAUCGCGCCGAGUCCGAAGCUGCCUCCGCAACUGUGAGCGGCGAGUGCGGAUCGCCCAUGGCCACUGGGAAACCGGGAAGGCCGAUCCGGCGCAUCGACCCGCGAGCCAGGAGACCUGCCGGGACCGUAAGACCGUUU